CGGGGCGUAGCGCAGUCCGGUAGCGCGCCUGCUUUGGGAGCAGGAUGUCGGAGGUUCAAAUCCUCUCGCCCCGA
rnacentral:tRNA from 1 species